AUGGACAUGAAGGCCCCUGUUCAGCUCUGGGGCUCCUGCUACUCUGGCUCCUAGGUGCCAGAUGUUCCGGCCAAACAGUAACCCAGAGUCCAUCCGUGGUGUCUGCACCUGUGGGAGGCACAGCCACCAUCAACUGCCAGUCAAGUCAGAGUGUUUACAACAACAAUGCUCUAUACUGGUAUCAGCAGAAACCAGGGCAACCUCCAAAGCUCCUGAUCUAUGAUGCAUCCAAAUUAGCCUCUGGGGUCCCCUCGAGGUUCAAGGGCAGUGGCUCUGGGGCAUCAUUCACUCUCACCAUCAGCGGGGUGCAGGCUGAGGAUGCAGGAAUCUACUACUGUGCUGGAGCUUAUAGUGGUUACAUUUACACAAUGAUACAAGCCUGAACAAAAAACUCCCAGGGAAGCAGAAGUGUGAGUGUGUGCUGCCCCAGCUGCUCCUCCUGAAGCCUCUAUCUGCUGACAGACAUUAUUACAUGUAGUCUGUCUUUCAUGGUCAGUGGAGUGUAAUUAGAAAGAACUCUGGGCUCCCUUAUAUCCUCC